ACUCAAAUGAAUAGACGGGGGCUUGCACAAGCGGUGGAGCGUGUGGCUUAAUUCGUCGCUAAGCGAAGAACCUUACCAGGGCUAGAAAUCCUACUGCACGCCUAGCGAAAGCUAGGAAGCCUUCGAGGGUGUAGGACAGGUGAUGCAUGGCUGUCGUCAGUUCGUGGUUUGAACCGUUCCCUUCAGUGGGGUAACGAACGCAACCCUCGUUGCCUGUUAUAAGUAUCAGGCGAGACUGCCCCCUCACGGGGGAGGAAGGUGAGGAUGACGCCAAGUCAGCAUGUCCCUCUGAUGUCCUGGGCUGCACACGCGCUACAAUCGCCGUUACAACGAGGCGCAAUGGGGUAACCCGGAGCAAAUCUUUAAAAGCGGCGCCAGUUCGGAUUGGGGUCUGCAACUCGACCCCAUGAAGCCGGAAUCGCUAGUAAUCGCGGAUCAGCAAUGCCGCGGUGAAUACGUUCUCAAGCCUUGUACACACCGCCCGU
rnacentral:rRNA from 1 species